GUAGCCGAACUGAAGCCACUCGUUAGGAAAAGCAGCUGACCCAGUGUUGCAGGUUCAUAAUCCAGGGCCUGCUGAGACGCUUUAGAGAGGGGAGGGUUAACGACAGCCAGAGCACAUGUGUAGUAAGGGCCAUGUGCACAUCUGCAUCAGUGCUGUAUGUUCAGGGAGGUGGGAAACUGUUCCGUGUGUGGUGGGAAGGGUUAAAGUCUUUAAUUUUGGGGUGCUUAAAUUGAAAGGGCGGUAGGUGUGUCCACGCAUUGCAGUGACUCUGUGGAAAGAAGAAUGGUGCCAGAGCAGCAGUGAGGGAGUGCGGAGGCAUGGCUGCAAGUUGAAAGGCAAGGUGCGGGGCGAGGAAGAAUUGGGCCCGCGGGUGGUUAUUCUGUCACUUGAGCGGUGUUGUUUCCUUUGGGAAGUUGCUUGGCCUCUGCGCUUUCCUCGCCUCUCUGCCUUUUUUCCUGCCCUUUCUGUUUUAAUGGCGCAGUUGGAGACUUCAUUUGUUUCUGCCAGGAUGUUCAUCCAGUAACUGGAGUGCCUAGUUUGGUUGGUGCCUCUGGGUAUUACAGUAAUAGAGACUAUAGUAACAUCAUAAUGGAGGGGAAAACCCAGAACAACCUAGUGGAAGGUUGCUUUGGGCUGUAAGACUAUGAAUAGAACAGAAACGAAAUGGAGAAAGACGUACCUAGAGGCAGAGAGGAUAUCCAGCAGUACCUAGGUGAAAGAAAAAAGUUAGAAAAUGCAGAACAUUCUAAAAAAAAAAGAGAAAGAACCAAGAUGGGCCUAAUAAGAAACAAGGUGUAUUAAAAAUGUGCACAUACGAAUGACAGAAACCUCAAAAGAGUAAAUACUGUUUUGUAAGAGGCAGAGCAGAUGAGAAAGUCACUGUUGCUGACCUGCAGAGUCAAAGGUUGCAUUGCGAGUUCAUUAGAUACCGAAAGCUCUCCAGGGGCAAAGGGCACUUGAGACACAGGUCUUGAAGAAAUCUGGUUUAUCAGCUCUGCUGUUUGAGCAACGAUUUGGACUUUUUGGUCAAGUUUUGCCCAGAACUAACAUGUAAUGAAUGACCUGCCAUCGCCGUUGCUUAUCAUCUUUACCAGCUAUUUAACAUGCGUUACAGGCAAGCCAGACCCUGCGGUAUCGGCUUAUUUCCUCAGAGUGGCAUAGCAGGACAAGAAACAACAGUGGGCUUCUGCGAUGCCCACCACUGGAUGGAGCUGGUCCAAGAAUAGCUUGCUGACGGCAUGGGUAGUGCAGCAGAUAGGAAAGCUAUCCCUCUGCCCUCGGGACUAGGUUCUGCAUUCUGUCUGAACCUGUGUGUUGCUGGGUCUGUGGACUCCUUCUAAAGGCUUGAGGAAUGGUAACUGAGAAAAAGCAAGCUAUUUGAGGAAGCUGAAGCAUAUUCCAAACAAGUCGUGUCAUUAAUGAGAGCAACUUGGGAGUCUGCCAACUCGGGAAGCUUGAAACCCAUGAGUGUAACUGAGUUUUAAAAUGACGGACCAGACCAAAAAACCCAUUUGGGAUCACAGCAUAUCCUCCCAUAAGCUGUACCAGGCUUCUGAUCUGCCUCCAACCACUCCAUUCAAUUUACUGAACUACACUCUCGUUGUGGCAUGCCAGCGUCAGUCCUCUCAGCCUCAAGGCACACUGAAAGCCUUAGUCAGGCCUGCAAAGGCAGGAUUCUUGCCUUAGCCCGGAUCUGCUUGACAGCAUACGGCUGGUUCGUAAUCAGUGGAAAGUGUUCAUGUUACAAGUCUAGUAUCUGUGACGACACUUCACAGAGAAUAUUAACACCCCACACCAAGCUUCUACUUAAAACUGUCUCCAGCAGCUGGGACCUUUGAGAAGAGGCAACAAAUCGGAUGAGACCUGUGAUGAAGCACAAAGAGCGGAGGAUAAAUAAAUCCGUCAUGUCCCAGCACUGCAGUGUCAGUUACUAGUUUGUGCCUUGGGAGGAGCCUGGUAGCUCAGGGAGAAAUCGGAGCUCUGUGGUGCAGUAUGUGCAGCAAUAGGUGGGCACUGCUCCAAAUGGGCUGCAGGCAAGCGUAGCUAUGGAGGAAAGGGCACAGAGCCAGCAUGGCAGGGGUCACUUAAACUGCCGCAGAGGACUGGAUUCAGGCUGUCUAGUGGGUACCCUGCUGAGCCUCUCAGGAAGGCUGCAGGCAUGACCUGCUGUAGAGUAAGGAGAUGAGUUGUGUGCACAACGUCUUCGUGAUUUCUAUCACUCAUGCGUUUCAACUGAGGCACAUCGGGUGUUCCCUCUGCCUCCUCUGGGAUUCUUCCUCCCUCCGCUCCCCCGGGUGAGCACCACCUUGCACCCCCCUGCCCACCGCAUCUGGGUUACAAGCAGCAGAUCUGGUGCUUUCCAGUGAUUGUGUGUAAAUACAAGUACAUGUGAAGAACCGUGGAGGUAUCAAAUAUCUCUGUGUUGAUACAGUUGUCUCUGAAUGACAUACGCGCGUUAUAAAUACAAACCUUUGGUUCUUGCGUCUGUACUGGGUGGAAGAAUAUCGGCUCUGCUGUCAGCCAGCAGCACCACCCUUUCAGAGUAAGUACCCUUCACCACUGAUAGCAAACGUCAAAACCUGCAUAAAGAGGGCCCAACCUCUGGAAGCGCCGGGCUGGCUGACAGGACUGUUUCCUGAUCGCUGCGCACUGCCCUGCGGAGAUGCCUCGGCAAGGCAGGGAGCGAGGCAUGGUCUCUGGUCUCGGACGGGAUGCCCGCCGCAGCUCCGCGCCCGAGGGAUGAAGGAUGCGCUUCCUCCCGGCAGCCGGAGCCGGCUCUCCAGGCGCUAGGGGGUCUUCCUGGCUGCCAUGACUCAUUUCUUUUUUUGACAGCCCCCUGGCUCGAUGCAGUCGAAGCCCUUGUCAGGGUAGCACCAGCUAAGAUAACGGCACCGAUGCGAAAAACAUAAAACCGCAGGAAGAACAGUUACGCUGACAGCGACAGGCCCCAGAGAAUGCCGGGUUUAUUUCGUGUGUGUGUGUGUGUGACAGAGGGGUCAUGCAGCGCGAGACGUGCAGCAGGAGCAGUCGGGCGGGGUGGAGGCGAUGGCGCUCCCAGGCCGAUUAGCCCUCUGCGUUCCGUGUUCAGGGCCCUGAGGACCCCCAAAAGAGCCGCUCCCCCCGCCCCCGGCUGGCAGCGCGGUGGGCGGAGGGAGCCGCAGGUCCGCGCCGCCCCGCCGCGGGGCCCCGCUUCGCGCUCGCCCAGCCCCCGCCCCGCCGCCCGCCCCGCACCGGGUGGGUGCACCAACCGAAAGUAAAAAAACAAGCCAAGAACUACCCCAAAGCCCCUCAAACCCAGCCGGGGCGGGACGGCGGCGAGGCGGGAGGAGUUCGGCGGGCCCACAAGGCGUCCGCUCGGCCUGGCCGAGGUGGGAGAGCGCUGUGAACUCACCUUUGCCAGCAGAGCUGGGACAGGACGGAGCCUUGUGUGGCCCAUCCCAAGCACGGAGCGCAUCGGCCCGCUGGUUAAAAGUACCGAGUGUUGGGCACUGCAAGUGCAAGAAUGAAGCCGUGACACAGCGCAAUACCCUGGGGCGGCUGGUACAGCAUACCCAUGGCGUGGGCAGUUCCCCUUCUGGAGGAAUACCUGAAAAUGGAAUGAUCGCUACAACUUUUUUCCACAGGGUAGGCUGUAGGGGAGCGUUCAGUGGGUCAUCGGAGUCUUACUUUUUGCCGUGUGCAGGGUAGGACAUGUGGUAUUAGAGAUACUGUUCUGCUCCAGGGUGUGCCUUGAGUAGAUCUUGCCAACACAGUUGUGUACAGAAUUCAGCCCCUUCCCCUCCUGGUGCCCCAUUUUAGCUAUAAUGCAGGAGGCACAGAAGAUACGAGGGGUUUAUAAAAGAUCCCACCUGACGUGAAAAGCGCUCAGCUGGCAGCUGCGCACUUUCAUGCCCACACAAAACCUUCAAAAACUCUGUCCUGUGCAGAGCAGAACGCUCCCAGCAUAGUUUUGUGUGAGGUUUUACUAAAAGGCUUUUCUGACGGUUGAUGGGAAGAUAUGAACUCACAUUGUGGUGGAGACAGAAAGAGGAUCUUUUUUUUUUCCCUCUGGCUGCCAGCACCACAGAGGUAGUACCUUGGCAGGCAGUAGUUUUGGGACCUGUCCCGUUUUGUCAGGUUUUUGGAAAUUUGUGAGUGGGAUUAGGAUGGGGGGAAAGCUGGCAGGUGCACACACACGGGGACAAUACAAUGAUAUCCAACUGAUUUUCAUAGAAACCCAGCCUGAACUACAUGAGGCAUGUCUCUGAAAGAGAUGAGUUAUAAAAUAACAGUUUAUUAAGCAUUUUUUGUGUGUGUCUUUCUGCUUUCUGAGCUUUCAGAAUACCCACAUUUUCAACCUUUACUCCUCUACAUUGAGAAAUAAAGUCUUAUCUUUCUCCCAA